CUCUGGCACUGGAGGAGGAGCCCACGGAGUGCCUCGUAGUCACUACCCGUCUCUUUACCCUCGGCUGGCCAGCCGGUCCUGCCACACUUCAGAGCUGGAAACCGGUCUUUAGUUAUCGUUUUUCUGUAGGCUAUAUGAUCUCCAAGCGUGGGAGAAAGUAGACUAGGUGGAACUUGAGCAGAAGUGAGAAGACGGUGGAGGUCUUUUUAAAAAUUGCAGAGGUUUCAGCUCAUGGCUGGAUGGUGGUGAGGCAGAGGAUCAUGGCAGCAGAGCUUGUGACAGAGGCUGAGAGGCAAAUGAAGAUACAAAGAGGCUAGGGACAAGAUUUUCUCCAUGUUCCAUGCCCUAAUGACUCACUCACUUACCUGAAGCCCACCUCUGAAUACUGGAGACCAAGCCUCAACGCAUGGGCCUUGGAGGCACUUUUCACAUCCAAACCAAGAUUCUAAACAGUUAUCACUUCUGAGUUACUAUGUCUAAGGCAGGCAUGAUACUUUAGGCUUGGCAGCUGGCUUUCUUAUCUGCUGAGCCAUCUUGCUGGCCCAAGUUUAUUUUUAACAGAUCUUUUUAUUAGCUUAUGCUUGCCUCAAACUUGAACCCCUUGCCUCUGCCUCCUGCUUACUGGAAUUACAGAUGUAUGUCACUGAAUCCAGCUGUUAUUUUCUUCCAUCCUCAAACUUUUGGGAGAGAGUACCCUGAGAGUGUUCUAGGAACGGGACACCAUGCUUCAGCUCUCCUGAUGCUGUUUUGACAGAAUGGAAUCUUUUCCAGAAGACUGUAUUUACUUAUAAAAAUAUAUCCAAACCAAAUGGCUUUCAAGACUGACCUUGACAACAGAGCGCAUUUUAGUUUGCCAUGAGAAGCAAUCAACAAAUGCUACUAUUUAAGAUUCAAGAAUCCUAAGUUAUAAUUAUAACACAUUAAGACACAAAACAAAA